rnacentral:rRNA from 1 species
UCUAGCUUGCUAGAUUGGUGGCGAGUGGCGGACGGGUGAGUAAUGCGCAGGAAUAUGCCUUAAAGUGGGGGACAACUUGGGGAAACUCAAGCUAAUACCGCGUAAUCUCUGAGGAGAGAAGCUGGGGACUUUCGAGCCUGGCGCUUUAAGAUUAGCCUGCGUCCGAUUAGCUAGUUGGUAGGGUAAAGGCCUACCAAGGCCACGAUCGGUAGCUGGUCUGAGAGGAUGACCAGCCACACUGGGACUGAGACUCGGCCCAGACUCC